GAAGUGAGGCUUACAGAGUUAGAACGCAAUUUAAACCAGUGACUAAUGUUUUGAUUGGUUCUCCCUCUGCCACCUGCAAACGCUGCGUUUGCGGGUGGUAGCGGUUGUUAGCGUUUGACACUAAUCAUAGAAACCGCUAGAUACCGUUUUGGACCGCUUGAAAUCGCCAGAUUUCAAAAGCUUCUUCCCGUAAGCGUUUGCGGUUGCGGGCGGUAGCGGUUAGGUUAAUUUUUUUUUUU
rnacentral:sRNA from 1 species